rnacentral:lncRNA from 1 species
UACACCUAAAACCAAAAACUUUUCCUUCUUUUUAACCAUACAUUCUCCAAAAAAAUUUACUAUUCCUCUCAUUAUAACAUAGAAUAAUGGGGCCAAAUGAGUGCUCAAUCAACUUGUCGCUUACGUAUGACACUGGUCGAUCUUAUUCUUUUUAGAGUGCGAUAACACAACUUCACGUUAAACAUCCUUAACCAUAAAUAUCCUAAAUCAUAUCGAUUCCAACUUAUUUAAUCUCUAAAAUAGAAGUAAAAAACAGAAUUUUUACUUAUCAAUCCCAACUUAUUUAGUCUAUUAUUAUUCAUAUUCAGAUUCCUCAAAUUGCAAAUACUUAUGAAUUCCACUGGGACACUGUCAGUCAAAUUGUUAUCACUCAUAUCAAACAAUUCCAGCCCAUAAGCCCUGCCUAAACUCGUGGGAACUGAACCAGUAAAUCAAUUCCACCAAGAAACAGAAUUUUUAAGUUCUCCAUAUCCCAUAAAAAUUUUGGAACCUAACUAGAAAAUUGAUUACUUUGAGAUUAUAACACUAUUAAAACUUACAUUUCUUCAGUCACAGAAAAUUCACCUAAGAUUGAAUUAUUCCACACUAUGAAUUCCUUCAAAUUCCCAGGAUUCUCCGGCAAAUAACUGGAAAUAAAGCCUUGUCCAUCAAUAAAAUCCAAAAAUCCAUUCUACUCAACAUCAUUAUUAUCGCCCGUUAGAGAGUUAUGCUUUGUGCAGCGGGAUUUAUGGAUAGGCAGUGCAACUGCAGAGGGUGUAGCCGACGAUGACGCUGUUGGCAAUUGGUGUUACAAGGGUGGAGCUGGCAAUAGUUAUGAAUGGCGAUUGAAGAGAGAUUUUAUAGAUAGAGCGGAAGUCUUCAUAUUGCCUUGAGAAGUUAAAAGGCCCAUAUACCCAUAUAAUUUUCCACUUUUCCUAUUUUGAAAAUAUUACCAAGGAGGAUGGGGGCUUCAGAGCCACAUGUUGAUGAUCAUUAUUACUAGAGAUGAAUAGCAUUGCACAAUGGAAUAAAUCA